CAGAUGUUGGCGACUGUGUCAUUAAUUCCAAAAGACCGGCAGCAUUUGCACAAGUCUCCAUUUUAGGGCCUUGAAAACUCCAGAGUAGUAUGGACGCCAGCUGAUUUACAGCGAACAAAGCGCAAAAGGUCGCGUCACUCUCAUGGGAACAAGCUCUCACCUGCAGACGAGCGUGGCGAUGAUGACGCACCAGGCCGUGCAGCAGCAGUCGGCGCUGGGCUGCUGCGCGUGCGUGUGGGAGUGCGAGGAGUCGUCACUCUUGCGUCGCCGGCAGCAGAGCCAGAACGAGUAGAAGAGGAGGAAGAGGAGGUCCAGGGCCAAGCACAGCAACGCCACAGAGCCGAGCAGCAACACGGACUGAAGAGGAGAGGAAGAAAGAAACAAUUAGUUGCAAUAAGAGGUUCAAGACCACGAGUGGAGGAUGGGAGGGGAGGAUCCCGGUGGCAGAGGAGGGAGAGAUAAGCUCUGCAGAAUCCUAGUCCCUGGUAUUAUCCUCCUGUCAUUAUCUUUGAGGCUUAACUGGAGACAGAGACGUCUCUGCCCUGUGUGCUCCUCUAAUGCAUUGUUUGAUCUCUUGUGACUUUAGACCAUGUACCAUUAAACGCAUAAGGCUUUGCAGAAGCUCACGCUACAGUAUUUAACGAUGGAUGUUUUCGUGGCAUCUAGUAUAAAUCACGCUAUAGGACUGACAAUGGGAUGACAUAGAUACUGUGGAAGGUGGAGGGAUGAAAGACUGGGAGACAAAGUGUCCGCCUCUUAAAUGUGAUGAUUCGCUUCUUUCUUUUUUGGUCAUACACACUUGAUAGAAACAGGGAAUCUGAAUGUCAUACCCUUUGGCUCCAAAGAACGCGAUAUCUUGGUUAUUUUCCAAAAUGUUAUGGAAAAGAAAAGGUGUACAAUCAAGAAAGUAAUCAGUGGAUUAUCCAACAAUGAAAAUAAUUGUUGGUUGCAGGCUUAUUAAUGUUCUUAAGAUUGUUAAUAAUGAUAAUAAAAAAUGUCAUUAUUCGAGUAAUUGUUUGGUCCAAAUCUCAAUUUCAAAAAGCCCAAGGUGACGUCCUCUAAUUACCUGUUUUUGAUUUGCAAACUGCAAUUAUAUAAAACAAAGGAAAGCAUUUAAAAGCAGCACUCGCUUUACUGAACAAAUUGGACAAAACUGAUUCCUAUAGUCAAGUUAAAUUGUCUGAGCGGUUUAUUUUUAUAAGUCAAUAUUCUCUGAUUUCAGCUUCGUAAAUGUGAAUACUCUCCGGUUUCUUUGCUCCUCUAUGACAGUAAACUAAAUAUCUUUGGUGUGCUAACAAAACAAAACAUCGUCUUGGAGUUUGGGAAACACGAUCGACAUUUUUCACCAUUUUAUGGACCAAACAACUAAUCGUUCAAUGGAGAAAAUAUCGAAAGAUUGAUGGAUGAUGAAAAUAACCAUUGGUUGCAUCCAAAGAGAGAAUUAAAGUCUUUAGGGAAAAAAAAUACUGAAUACAGUAUCCUUGAGUGAAGCGCAUGGUGCUACAAUGCACAUUUUUAACCAAGUGGUCAUUUGAAUAUAAUGUUGAAAGAACAUGUAAAGAUGUGUGGCAUUCAUUUCGUUUUUGGCGUGUUGAGCAGACUGGAACAUGGGGCCAAAGGCAGGGGGUUGCAGUUGUGUCCUGCACUUUUAAAAAUGGCUGCUCUACCCCUGACGAUGGCCGCAAGGUUAACCGUCAGCCUGACAAACCAUCAGAUUAAGUGUGGCUCAAUUAGCUACUAAUAAGCAUGGUGAGCUCGGCUGUGCAUGUGUGUCUGCGUACUUAGAUGUUAGUGUGCG